AAAAAAAAAAAUUCCCGCCAACUUUUUUUCGUAACAAUUUUUUUCUGAGCCAAAAAAUGCUUUUAUAAAUCCUUGUAAAUUUUUUUUGGCGGGAAAUAGAUUUACAAGGGAUUUUAAAAGAGUUACAAGAUGUUUAAAAGGAUUUAAAAAUACUUACAAGGGAUUUUAAAAGAUUUACAAGGGAUUUUAAAAGGGUUUAAAAGAUUUACAAGGAAUUUUAAAAGAGUUUUAAAAUAUUUACAAGGGAUUUUAAAAGGUUUUAAAAAGAUUUACAAGAGUUUUUAAAGGGUCUUCUUGUAAAUCUUUUAAAAACUCUUGUACAUCUUUUAAAAUGCUUUUAAAAUCCUUUGUAAAUCUUUUAAAACACUUUUAAACCCUUUUAAAAUCACUUGUAAAUCCUUUAAAAUAUUUUUAAACCCUUUAAAACUCUUUCAAAAACAUUUGUAAAUCUUUUAAAACCCUUUAAAAUCCCUUGUAAAUAUUUUAAAACUCUUUUAAAAUCCCUUGUAAAUUUUUUAAAAUACCUUGUAAAUAUUUAAAACCCUUUUAAAACAAUUUUAAACCUUUUAAAAAUCUUUAAAAAAACAUUGUAAAUCUUUUAAUGCCCUUUAAAAUCCAUUGUAAAUCUUUUAAAAUCUUUUGUAACUCUUUUAAAACCUUUUUAAAAUCCCUUGUAAAUAUUUUAAAACCUUUUUAAAAUCCCUUAUAAAUCUUUUAAAACCCUUUUAAAAUGCUUUGUAAAUCUUUUAAAACCUUUUUAAAAUCCCUUGUAAAUCUAUUUCUCGCCAAAAAAAAAAUUUUGCAGGAAAACAUUUGGCGGAAAAAUUAUUUUUCGAAAAUUUUUGGCGGGAAUAUUUUUUUGAAAUUUUUUUGCGGGAAAUUUAUCUUGAAAUAUUUGGGCGAAAAGUAUUAAUAUUUCAUUUUGUUAACCUAAAACAAUUUUCAAAUAGGGGUAAAAUGGUCAUUAAAAAUUUAAAGAGGAUAGAAAUAAAAAUGGAUUAAAAAAAAAGGUAGAGUUGAAAAAGGGCAUCAUGAAAAGGGCAUUAGAAAGAAUUUUUCUUCAUUACAACCGUAAACCGAAAAGAUAGAAAUGUAGUUAAAAAAAAUUUGACUAUCAAAAAAGAAUCACGAAAUAUAUUUAAACGAAAAUAUGCUAUUAAAAGACAAAAUCGUA
rnacentral:sRNA from 1 species